AUGAUGCACGCACUCAUGAAGAAGCAUUACGGUGAAGCGGAGCUACGAGCCAACAGCGAACCGAACUGGUCGAGGAUAGCAGAAACACCUAACAAAGUUUGCGUGCCAAAACAGCAGGGUACCCAAUGCGGACACUUCAUGGUUCAAUUUGCAAAAUACUGGAAUGGCAUUGAUCUCAUAAAAGAUGAUGAUGAUUUCAAUCAAAUCAACGUAGAUGUCGAGUGGAAACCAGAGUUCCUUUUUACAGCCAUAUUUGGUGGAACAAACCUAGUAAACUGGGAGCAACUACCUGGAAGAAUCAAAGAAUUCAAACCAGAAACAUCAAAGUUCUUUUCCACCAACAAAGAGGCCAAAAGUAAUGUAAGAAUCUGUUUCUCACUAACCAUGACCUCCAAAAUUAUUUUAUCUCCCUGUCGCAGCAAAACUAUAUUUAGGCGCAUCCGCAGGGACAGUGAAAGCACGCAACUUACUGGAGCCCAACUCAAGGCAGUAUUUGGUCCAAGACCAUCACAGACAAACAUACCACAUCAUAUGGAAAAAAGGGUCCUCGAUGACAUAGCAGAAAUUUGGGAAAGCAGACAAGAUUCAAAAUAG
rnacentral:rRNA from 1 species